rnacentral:rRNA from 1 species
CCUACGGGAGGCAGCAGUGGGGAAUAUUGCACAAUGGGCGGAAGCCUGAUGCAGCGACGCCGCGUGAGGGAUGAAGGCCUUCGGGUUGUAAACCUCUUUCAGCAGGGACGAAGCGUGAGUGACGGUACCUGCAGAAGAAGCACCGGCUAACUACGUGCCAGCAGCCGCGGUAAUACGUAGGGUGCGAGCGUUGUCCGGAAUUACUGGGCGUAAAGAGUUCGUAGGCGGUUUGUCGCGUCGUUUGUGAAAACCCGGGGCUCAACUUCGGGCUUGCAGGCGAUACGGGCAGACUUGAGUGUUUCAGGGGAGACUGGAAUUCCUGGUGUAGCGGUGAAAUGCGCAGAUAUCAGGAGGAACACCGGUGGCGAAGGCGGGUCUCUGGGAAACAACUGACGCUGAGGAACGAAAGCGUGGGUAGCAAACAGGAUUAGAUACCCUGGUAGUCCACGCCGUAAACGGUGGGCGCUAGGUGUGGGUUCCUUCCACGGGAUCUGUGCCGUAGCUAACGCAUUAAGCGCCCCGCCUGGGGGAGGUACGGCCGCGACGACGUAAACGUUAAACGUAAGUAAGUAGGACGGCGUGUAGUACGUUCGACGACGACGACGACGGAGGGAGGAGG